rnacentral:rRNA from 2 species
UACGUAGGGUGCAAGCGUUAAUCGGAAUUACUGGGCGUAAAGCGUGCGCAGGCGGUUUUGUAAGACAGAGGUGAAAUCCCCGGGCUCAACCUGGGAACUGCAUCUGUGACUGCAUCGCUGGAGUGCGGCAGAGGGGGAUGGAAUUCCGCGUGUAGCAGUGAAAUGCGUAGAUAUGCGGAGGAACACCGAUGGCGAAGGCAAUCCCCUGGGCCUGCACUGACGCUCAUGCACGAAAGCGUGGGGAGCAAACAGG